rnacentral:tRNA from 1 species
GCCUGGUGGCUCAGUUGUAGAGCAUGUGACUCUUAAUCUCAGGGUUGUGAGUUCAAGCCCCAUGUUGGGCA